AAGAGAAUGCCUCUAGUUAGUAGGUGAGCAUGGAGUUUCUUGAUGGCUAAGAGAUUAUUAGUUGAUUGACAUUGGUGUAAAUAUUGAAUUAAGUUGGACAUGUAAAAAUUAUAUCAAGCUCCUUGGUGAUUGGUGGUAUUUAUUUGGGAGGAGAGGAGCAUGGAGAAAGUGUUGUGUUACAAACUCAAAUCAUUUUAUUAGUUUAGUCUUGAAAUUUAAAUGUCUAUUCAAAUUAUAUAAAAAUAAUUAAUUGUAUAUAAAUUAAGUUAUAUCAAUAUAAAAUUGGUUUUUUUUAAGCCACUAGGUUUGAUUGGUGUUGAGGGAUUUAGAUAGUAUGCUAGAGGUUCUGAGUUCGAUCAUCAGUUCAUUGUAAACAAAAAAAAUUUGGUUUUUUUUUUUUUGACUAAAAAAUUGGUUGUUAUAUAUGUUCUAAGAUUUUAAUAGGAGAGUUUUGUCAAAUAGUUUUAUUGAUUAAAAUAUGAAUUUAUUUAUAAGUACAUUUGUCAAUUUUCUUUGAACUUUGAGACAUGCUCUAGUUCUAACUGGAUUCAAAUCACUUAAAUUUUUUGUUAUAAAAAAAAAAAAGAAAUGAUGACUAGAUCAAGUAAU
rnacentral:lncRNA from 1 species